UACGAAGGGGGCUAGCGUUGCUCGGAAUUACUGGGCGUAAAGCGUGCGCAGGCGGCCAUUCAAGUCAGGGGUGAAAGCCCAGAGCUCAACUCUGGAACUGCCCUUGAAACUGUAUGGCUUGAGUAUGAGAGAGGUGAGUGGAAUUCCCAGUGUAGAGGUGAAAUUCGUAGAUAUUGGGAAGAACACCGGUGGCGAAGGCGGCUCACUGGCUCAUAACUGACGCUCAUGCACGACAGCGUGGGGAUCAAACAGG
rnacentral:rRNA from 1 species